AACCUCCGCAAUGUGAGAAAUCGCGACGGGGGGAUCCCAAGUGCCAUUCUUAACGGGAUGGCUUUUCAUUAGUGUAAAGAGCUUUUGGAAUAAGAGCUGGGCAAGACCGGUGCCAGCCGCCGCGGUAACACCGGCAGCUCUAGUGGUAACAAUUUUUAUUGGGCCUAAAGCGUCCGUAGCCGGUUUAAUAAGUCUCUGGUGAAAUCCUGUAGCUUAACUGUGGGAAUUGCUGGAGAUACUAUUAGACUUGAGACCGGGAGAGGUUAGAGGUACUCCCAGGGUAGAGGUGAAAUUCUGUAAUCCUGGGAGGACCGCCUGUUGCGAAGGCGUCUAACUGGAACGGUUCUGACGGUGAGGGACGAAAGUUAGGGGCGCGAACCGGAUUAGAUACCCGGGUAGUCCUAACUGUAAACGAUGCGGACUUGGUGUUGGGUGGCUUUGAGCUGCUUCAGUGCCGAAGGGAAGCUGUUAAGUCCGCCGCCUGGGAAGUACGGUCGCAAGACUGAAACUUAAAGGAAUU
rnacentral:rRNA from 1 species